CUUCUAAUUUCUUCCAGGUAGACAAAACAAGUCUAUCAGUCUGUGCCUUAACAAAGAAGUAAUCUUCAAAUACUUUUGGAACAUGUACUCAACACCAUACCAGGCAGAAAAUACACAGCCUGAUUUUCAUUGACACAAAAGGCAAUUUAUAAAGCUCAGGAAGCCUUGCAAGGAUUAAAGCAGAUGUCUGCACCCACUUAGAGCUUUCUUUCCGCACCAGUGUUGUGUAACUGAAUAGUUGUUCAGGACUUGCUGCUGCUGAACUGGGGGUGCAGUUCUUCUACGUUCUUCUAUGAAGUUUAACACAGGCAAGUGCCAGAUUCUGCACCUGGGAUAGGGCAAACCUGGUUGUGUGUAUAGAUUAAGGAACAAGAGGCUGGAGAGCAGUGCUGCAGAAAGGAACCUGGGAGUCCUGGCUGAUGGCAAGUUGAAUAUGAUUCUAUUUCAGGUAGUAGUGACAAUGAGGAGGGAGGACCAUAAACAUGUUCCCCGUAAGACCUUUGGGACUUACCUGUAGAAAUCCUGAGGAUGAAGAGACCUCAAGUCAGUUUAAAAGAAGACAGCAGCAAAAAUCUAUCAAGCAAGAGACAGUGAGACCCAUUCUUGAACAUGGGCAAUAGAGUAAAUGUGACUCUUUGAGAAAGCAAUAUUUAUUGUAUCCUGGGGUAGAGAAGGUACAUAGAAGGGUGUCUUCUCAAUCUCUUAGAUUACAUGCAAAAUUUAACUAUGACUGACUGAGCUUUUACACAUCCCUGGGAGUGUGAGGUCUUGGGGCCUCUGAACUACUAUAAGCAGCAGGUCAGGAGAUCCAGGUUCUGGGGCCAAAAUUCACUCCAGCACUUAGGUAUUUCCUUUCCACCCAUAGCACUACUUUAGAAACGUAAGGAACACUGAAAAUAGCAGAAUCUCUAUUGGAGUUAGGCCUCUGUUGCACUUGCACAUUUAAGACUCUUCUACAAUAUGACUUUUCCUCCCCCUUUUCUUCUUUGUCCUCUGACUUUUCAUUUUCUUCUCCAUUUAUUGCCUGUCCCUCUUCAUUCUCAUUCCACAUACACAGACCCUGUUCUUAAUGCUAUUAAUCAGUUAUUGUCACAACUCCCUUCCUUCCUUGUUUAUUACUCAUUUUAGAUCAUCCAUUGUACUUACAAAGUAGAUCUGUGGUAGACCCAUUAGUGAAACCUGUGUGCCUCUUUAAGACCCAAGCUAGUUUUUAACUACACACUCAGUGUUUCCUCCUCCUUAUUUUGCUCUCCCACAUCAAAAGAAAACCCCAAGUAAAUAAUACAGGUAUGCCCUUGCUCUUUUGUUUUCGGAGUUCUUUCUCUUUUCUUGUUUGGUUUCUCUUUGAUUUUUCAGGUGUUGUCAAAAUCUGAAGGUGUUGCCGAUGUAUUCCAUCUCCAAGUUACAUACAACCUUCAUGAUAAACAACCAGAGAAUGGCAUAUCAGGAAGGUAAAUCCUCUGAACUCCUACGUGUCAUGCUAUGAGGAAUCAUGCUACAAAACACCCUACUGGGAAACAAGUUGUAGCACCUCGAGGAGCUGGAGUGGUUGCACCUGCCUUGUGAAACAAUUCCUCCAAGGGCAAUCCUGCAUUUUUACUUCUGCCUUAAGAGAUUUCUUUGCCUUCUGCACUUCUAUUCGGCUUGGUCUUCACAAGAAGAGGUCCCAACUAUUUCUGUUCUCAUAAAGUUCUUUCUGUAAGUAAGAGUUUGUCUGCUUGGUUUUGACUGAAGCUCAAUCAGUAUUAAUAAUGAGUUAAGUCAGAUAUGGCCAUAUAGUGUGGAGCUCAAAACCCUCUAACUUCCCAGCUAGUUACCUGGGGCUCUGAGCUCCACAUUGCUGCAGCUCUGUUGCUGUCAGCACUCAAAAUGACUAGUUUAAUGCUAGGUUGAGCACAUCUAACCAUGCAGCAGCCAGAGAACUGUUUGGUGAAGCGACAUACUUUCCGAAACAUGUUAACCUUGGAUUAAAUAAACCAAGGAAAAAGAGCCUGAAGUUCCCUAACUUGCUACAAUGCAGUCCUGCUAUUAUUAAGUCUGCUGCUGAAUGUGUGAAAGUGUGUGGGAUCAACACAAACUUCACAGAAGCAAAGCCCCAUGGUAGGUGGCAAAGGCAGCUUUGUCAGAAAAUCUGCAGAAUAUGCUCUGAGGCUGUGCCGCUGGAACAAAGCAGAGAAGUACAAGAAACAUCAUUACAGACUGAAAAAAGGAAUCUCUACAGGCACUCUUAUUCGGAUCUCCUUGGGAGAGAGAAGGGGUUAGUAGUGGUAAUAAACUGUAAAGUAAAGGUCUCACUUGAGGCAAGAGGAAGAGAGAGAACUGGUGUCAAGAAACAGUACAGAAGAUGAGAAUGAGUGGAAGAAAAGAAAGCAAGCUCUGGACUGUUUGAUAAUGAGGUGUGCCUGUCCAGUGUCCUGAGGAAUGAAUAAUGUUAGAGAAUAUAUAGGAACUGCCAAGGCCAGUGCGUUUCACUUGCAGGGUCUCAUUCCUGAGGACUGUGAGUUAUCUUCGCUGACAGUGUGCCACAAUCACUAUCCAGCUAAGGUUGCUGAUAUCUAUCAGAGUGGUUUGGAAAUACGAAGAGACAGUCCAGUGAUCAUGGAAAAUGUGCGAGCAAAGAGGCAGAGAAGAUCUAGAAGAGAUAGAGAAGAAUGUUGUGUUCCACGAUGUGCCUUGUCCUGGGACAGUAGAAAACUGUGAAGCAACAGCUUAUGGAUUUUGCACUCCCUGGACAAAAGGAGUUAAGAUAAACUGAUUAAGAUGAUGUCUCUCCUGUGGACUUAACAUAUAUCCUUCAACAUCCUUGAGAGUUAAGAGAAAUUCAAUUUAUUUUCAGAGAUAUAUUUCCUUCUUCCCCUUCCUUUUUGUUAUAAACAGUAAGGUCUGUGCUGAUUUAUUGGAAUUACUCCUUUGGCUGUGAUGUGCAGGAUUAGUAAUGAGCUACUCUGUCUGAAACGUGAUGUUAGAUAUUAAACAUAGCACUUCUGGAAAAAAUAUGCAAUUCCUGUGAUGAUAUAAACCCGAGGUUUAUUUCUUACGACUUGUGUCUUACAGACUGAAACGUGUCAUUUUGUUUUUAGAGGUGUACCGUUCUA